rnacentral:rRNA from 1 species
GAUGAACGCUAGCUACAGGCUUAACACAUGCAAGUCGAGGGGAAACGAUAUUGGAAGCUUGCUUCCGAUAGGCGUCGACCGGCGCACGGGUGAGUAACGCGUAUCCAACCUGCCCACCACUUGGGGAUAACCUUGCGAAAGUAAGACUAAUACCCAAUGACGUCCAUAGAAGACAUCUGAAAUGGAUUAAAGAUUUAUCGGUGAUGGAUGGGGAUGCGUCUGAUUAGCUUGUUGGCGGGGUAACGGCCCACCAAGGCGACGAUCAGUAGGGGGUCUGAGAGGAAGGUCCCCCACAUUGGAACUGAGACACGGUCCAAACUCCUACGGGAGGCAGCAGUGAGGAAUAUUGGUCAAUGGGCGAGAGCCUGAACCAGCCAAGUAGCGUGCAGGAUGACGGCCCUAUGGGUUGUAAACUGCUUUUAUAAGGGAAUAAAGUGAGUCUCGUGAGGCUUUUUGCAUGUACCACCAGAAGAAGCCCCGGCUAACUUCGUGCCAGCCGCCGCCGUAA